CCUACGGGAGGCUGCAGUCGAGAAUCUUCCACAAUGGACGAAAGUCUGAUGGAGCGACGCCGCGUGGUUGAUGAAGUGCUUCGGCACGUAAAGACCUUUUAUGAGGGAAGCGGUACCUCAUGAAUAAGGGGCUCCUAACUCUGUGCCAGCAGGAGCGGUAAUACAGAGGCCCCGAGCGUUAUCCGGAAUUAUUGGGCGUAAAGGGUGUGUAGGUGGCGUAGUUAGUCGGUUGUUAAAGACCCGGGCUUAACCUGGGGAAUGCGACCGAAACGGCUAUGCUUGAGUAUGUGAGAGGUAAGCGGAACUCAUGGUGUAGGGGUGAAAUCCGUUGAUAUCAUGGGGAACACCAAAAGCGAAGGCAGCUUACUGGCACAUACUGACACUGAAACACGAAAGCGUGGGUAGCGAAUGGGAUUAGAUACCCUUGUAGUC
rnacentral:rRNA from 1 species